AUCACCCGUAUUGGGUUGUCUCUUGCUUGCCUCGUCCGACCUACCCCAACAGAAAGGCCCAAGACUAAGCCUGUAGAUUCUGAGGUGUAACAUUGAGAAGGAGAUUUCCUGCAUGGUGUAGUCCAUAGCUGACUGGAUGAAACACUGGGUAAUGUACUACUAGGACACAGUAGCGUGAGAUGGCCCAGCUCAUAAGCUAUAUGUUUUAAACCACUGAGACUGAAUUUACUGGGUCUGAACAGCUUCUUUCUCACACCAAGGGGAAAAUGUCAAGGUUUCUGUCAAGGGGAAAGAAGAUGUAUGGCUUUCCAUGAAGUGAUGAGUCCCUCCAGGGUUCAGAGUUUUGCGAGCUCAGCUGGGACUGGCCUUGCUAUGAAGAAUGGGGGAGUGCUGCCUGGUCCCAGGGGAGCAGGAGCAGUUGUGCUGCCUUCAGUCUCCAGGGUGUCCAGAGAAGGCAAACAGUGUUCCUCAGCUGUCCUCACCUGUGACUGCAAGCCGAGCUGUUGAGAUGUAUAGAGAUCGUCCUAGGGAGAAAAUGAGUGGUUGGAGCACUGCUCUGAGUAGUGCUCUAUUGCCGAAGAGCCAGCAAGUCCCAUCUGCCACCACCACCCUCCUGUGAAUGAAAUGGCUGCAAAAAAAAAGUUCUGGGAGGCAAUUCACACGCAGAAGUUAUUCUUGAAGGGAUGAUGUUUGCGGAGCUGGGAACACUGACUCACUCCUGCCGUCCUCGCAGGCUCCAAGGCGUGAUGCAGAGGAGACAAGCUGAGGAUGGAGAGAAACUUAACAAACCUGCCCUAGAGAAACCAAGUACUCUAAAGUAGCCCACAAAAAUUUCAGCCUGUUCCAUGCUGAAAAUAGGGCUCGGGCCCUUGUAGGGCAGAGACUCGUCAGGAAGGCCUCCACGGCCCUGGCACGCUGGACAGGGGAGUCUGCAAGUCUCUGGUUUGUGUCAGCUGUUUGUGUGCCCCAGGGGACACUGCACUGACCUUAUUGCGUCUGGUCGCUCUCGCUACCAACUACAGGGCUCCUCGGCGGGAUUAAAAGUGGAUUUUUCAGCUAUUGCAUUGCCCGAGCAGCCUGCCUGGGAAAAGCCAGGUUCAGGGUACUUGAAAAGACCUCAAGGCUUGCAAAGGCUGAAAACACUCUCACUCCCAUCUGACGCUCUAAGGGUCAGGCACCUAAAGGACCUUUCACAAUCCUGAAAAAAAUCAUGAAUUCACUGAUAACCCCUGCAGGGCUUGCUUUGCCAGAAAACAGCUGCAUUUUCUGUUCAAAUGCCUCUUUCAGCUUGUCUGCUUCAUUAGCGGAUGCUGUCCUAAACACAGGACAGUUGGAUUAAAAUUCAUGCCAAAGAGUACAGAAAAUGAACUGCCAGCACAGAGCAAACAUAUGAAACCUGGAUGAAAAACACUCCAGAAACAAAGAGCAGUGCAAUGUCACUGCCAGGUGGUAUUUGGCCUUGAAAAGGGUUCAGUUACCUGGGAUUGCCUCCGAAUUUCCCGACAAACCUUAAAUAACACCAGCUCGAGAACCCAAUUGGCUCCUUGGGAAGCUGCAUGGGCUGGACUGGGCUGAGCAAAACCUCCUGGUGCCGCACAAGCAGCUGCAGCCCUGGCAGGGCUGGCCGUCCUGAGCAGGUCUGCCGGGCCCUGGAAGAGGAAUCGGACGCCCACAAAACCUCAGAGCACGGACAAGAGACAGCAGCUUCACCAGGCCCUGCAUCUCAGGCGAGUGGCAGCACAGGAGCAGGCUCCAAGGCUGUGGGAAAGACACAGCCCAUCAGCAUAGCUCACAGCAAAAAAGGCUUAAACUAGAUCAGCCGUAGCCAUAGGGCACUAUAACUACAAGGAAAGGUAUCUGGGUUUGAUUUACAUGCUGUACCUUGUGAAACUAGAGUAUCUCCAUGCUGUGAGUAUCUCCAUGCUGAGCCCCCAGGUAUUUAGAUUCAUUCAAGAAUUCAUUCAUUCAAGCAGGACUAAAAAGCUUACUGCCAAGCAGAAGCAAGCAAACAAAAAACCAGGAUCUCCUGUACUUACUUGUCUGUACAGGCUGUUUUGACUUAAAAAACAAACAGAAAAACCCCAAGAGGCACCACAAGUCUUACAGACAUUGCAAAAAAACUGUGGCAACAUUUUAAUUGCAAUUUGGGCAACAUUUGGGUUUGUUAGCUCUGCUGUGGAUAAGUGAACAAAUGGCUCAUAUGAUUUUGAAAGAUUUUUUUUUUUAUCUACUCAGAAGCCCUUCUCUGUUUACAAGGCAGAGAUUGUGACGCAUUUGCCUUCCUCUUAUUUGAGUGUAUCUGUUAUUCAAAGCUUCAAUAAAGUUUCAACUUGAGGGUCUGACAGUAGUGUUGCCAGACCAGCAAUCACCAUACUUCACAGCUGUAAGAGUAAUUCAAUAGGCAUCUUCUUUUAUAGGGUGCUACAGGGAAAUUUCAAAGCUCCUGUCAUUUCAGAGGAGCUGACACCAAUAGCCCUGCCACAUGAAUUUUGAAGACAUUCAUGAGCUAAACUUUGCGCUUGCAGUAAAUUACCACCAGUGUUAAAUGACCGCCUUGAAGUUCUUCCAGAUGCUUGCAUGAGAUGGCUAAUCAAAACUAUCUUUGCUGAGCAAUUAGUCCCCAGUCGUCUCUUAGGCAAUUGCUUUGGCAUGCUUAAAACUUCCAGUUGUACGAUGUGCUUCCUGGCGACCUGAGCAGUGGCUAAGAAACUCGCCCCCACUCCGGUCCCGCUCCACUGCCUGCAUUAGUGCCACUUCUGCCUGAACGAGCCCCUGAAAAGCAUAGUUUUUACUGCCAUCUAAUGUCUACCCAGAUGACAUAAUUUCCUGUUGCUGUAGUAUAUUAGACUAAUGCUGUUAGAGCAUUUGAUACUUCUUAAUCUAAUUAUCCAAAGCCAAGCACGUGGUCUGUGGCAGCCCGUGCAAGCCUCCUGCGCCGCCGCAGCUGCUCCCCGGCUGAAUCCUGCUCGGCUCUUCGCGGUGUUACCCUGAGCUUGUGUUUCCCAUGUUUCCCGCCAGUGCAGCUGGGGCUAAAUGCACAUAUCAUGUUUGCUCUGAAACCAGGGGUGGGCAGCGCUGCCACGCAGGGUCAUUUUUGGCACUUUUUCAUGCCGGGGACUGAUGCUGCCUCGACGAGAGGGGCCGGGGCAGGCACACAAUUUAAAUGAAGAUCAAUGUGUUUUCAUAUAUACACAUAUUAUAUAUAUAUAUAUGCACAUAAAAGCACUCAAAGAAAAAAAGAGAAAAUACAUGCAGCCCCAUACUGUAAAUACUCUCUUACUGAAAGUCUAGUUACUCAUCCACAAAUAACUCCCCAGGCCUAAUAGUUGAAAUAAAUAAGUUACUUAUACUACUAGGUUGAGUAAAACUAUUCUGCUGCAUUCCUCACUGCACCAGGGGAUCUAAAUUUUUUUUUUUUUUUUUUUUUGCAUAUGCUUUUCUUAAUAUUACAUCCAUCCCUCUAAAAAAGAUUCUGGAUUUCAAUUAAAUAGAUGAAAACUGAGGUUGUUAAAUGACAGUCACUGUGAGCUCAGCUUUUCCAUGUUGCCAUGUUGACUGACUACUUACUGGUGGGUUGACUGGUGGGGAUGGGAGCCCAUGCAUCAAAUGCCCAUUUUUCUACCAUAAUAUUUCUUCAUUGUUACCAGACCAACUUUUUAAAUUUGAUAUGCAGUACAAAAGCUGGCUCAUCAGGCAGAAGAAAGAUCAAUGGUAUUUAUCGUGCAAGCCCUAGAAUGAGGUCAUGCAGGUCCCCUUCCAGAUCUAAUCUUCUCUCCCCUUUUUUAUUAAUGAACUCUGCAACCGAGAUGGUUUUUUCAAUCCCUUGGGCCUUGAGAUGAAAGCCUUCAUGGCCUCCGCCUAUGCAAGAACAUGAAAAAUGCUUGAUUUAAUGCUAAAGAACAAAUUCCUGGAGGUACAAGUUGCCGUACCAUGCUCCCCAGAGAGAACACGCUUACUAAAACAGUUGCCUGUGCGGGUUUCAAAGCUGGAUGCUGCUACUUUAUGGGGGGAGCUGAAAAUUGUAUAACCCCCCUCUCUGCACGUAACAGUGGCUGGAGGCUGCAGCAGCAGUGACGACGCUGGGGAAUAGUCAGUUUAGCCCCUUGCUGUCCUCUCCCCCUCUAGCCAGUAAAUCCAGGCCUACAUGGGGACACAAAUUUUAACACGUGCCAAUACCUGAUGCCACUUUGCUGGCAGCACUGCAGCAGUGGCAAGGCACCUGCGGCUUUUGCCUGGCAGUAACCCCAUGCAGGCAACUUUCUCAGCUGCAGUCGUUGCCGAACUGAGCUCAUGGCAGACCGCACACUUGUCUCCACCAGCGUUUUGUUUCGAAGAGCAGGGUAGCUCACCAGCAUCUGUUUGCCCCUUGAUGAAACACACUAUUUUUAACAACGAAGCUAAACUUGCAGGUAGGCAGGGGUUUGUGUGGCUAGGCCUUUUGAGAAGGGUGAAGAAGUAGAGUGGCACUUCAGUGCUCGGACAGAGAAACCGCCAAGAAGAAACCCGCUUUGGUCAUUAGCCCACCGGACUGAGCAGCUAUGCCACUGGCACCGUUGCUCUGAGAGCCAGGCUACGGCAGGGGUGAAUUUGGCCCAAGAGCUGAAGAUGGAAAGCUGCAGGCCCCCUGCCACAAGACGUUUUCUUUUCACUAACCGACCCACAUGAGGUUAAUGUGCAGAGUGCUAUUAAUCCUCCUACAAACA